CCUUCAUAGUCCACCAAGUAGAAGUCCCCACCGGAAUCCUAGAAGCCCAAAUGGACCUGCAUCAUUGUUGAAUGCAAAACUGUCAAUUGAAAGCUCAACCCCAGGGCGUGAAAGUAAUGCCAACUUUGAGGUCCAUCCAUUACCGCUUCCUCCUGGAGCAGCCAGGCCUUCAUUAUCAGCUCCCAUUUCCCAAGUUAUUGCUAAAGCAGAGUCCAUACCCUUGAAAAGUCAGUGGCAGAAGGGAAAGCUUAUUGGACGUGGUACAUUUGGCAGUGUUUAUGUUGCCAGCAACAGGGAAACUGGGGCAUUAUGUGCAAUGAAGGAAGUUGACAUAUUUCCAGAUGACCCAAAAUCUGCAGA
rnacentral:misc_RNA from 1 species